GUCCACCCCGUAAACGAUGAUCACUCGCUGUUGGCGAUACACAGUCAGCGGCUAAGCAAAAGCAUUAAGUGAUCCACCUGGGGAGUACGGCCGCAAGGCUGAAACUCAAAGGAAUUGACGGGGGCCCGCACAAGCGGAGGAACAUGUGGUUUAAUUCGAUGAUACGCGAGGAACCUUACCUGGGCUUAAAUGUAGAGUGCAUGGGGUAGAAAUAUCCCUUUCCUUCGGGACUCUUUACAAGGUGCUGCAUGGUUGUCGU
rnacentral:rRNA from 1 species